rnacentral:rRNA from 1 species
GUUAGGAAUAUUGGACAAUGGGCGCAAGCCUGAUCCAGCCAUGCCGCGUGAGUGAUGAAGGCCUUCGGGUUGUAAAGCUCUUUAGCCGAUGAUUAUAAUGACUGUAGUCGGAAAAUAAGCCCCGGCUAACUUCGUGCCAUCAGCCGCGGUAAUACGAAGGGGGCGAGCGUUAUUCGGAAUCACUGGGCGUAAAGCGUGCGUAGGCGGCUUUGCAAGUUGGGAGUGAAAGCCCAGGGCUCAACCCUGGAAUUGCUCUCAAAACUGCAAGGCUCGAAUUCGGGAGAGGAUAGCGGAAUUGUCAGUGUAGCAGUGAAAUGCGUAGAUAUUGACAGGAACACCAGUGGCGUAAGCGGCUAUCUGGACCGAUAUUGACGCUGAGGCACGAAAGCGUGGGGAUCAAACAGGAUUAGAAACCCGAGUAGACC